UACGGGGGGGGCAAGCGUUGUUCGGAAUUACUGGGCGUAAAGGGCGCGUAGGCGGUUGGAUAAGUCAGCUGUGAAAACCACGGGCUUAACUCGUGGCCUGCAGUUGAGACUGUCUGGCUUGAGUGUGGGAGAGGAGAGUGGAAUUCCUGGUGUAGCGGUGAAAUGCGUAGAUAUCAGGAGGAACACCGGUGGCGAAGGCGGCUCUCUGGACCACAACUGACACUGAGACACGAAAGCGUGGGUAGCAAACAGG
rnacentral:rRNA from 1 species